GAUGCAUGGUUUACCCAUCUUUUCAUUAUCUAUCUACUUGUCUUCUACACAACACCAAACCCUAGAGAGAGAUGGACACAGAGACAAAGAGAGAGAAGUGCGAUGGUGAAGGUGAUGUGGUUUGAACCACCGCACGAACACCUGUCGCUGGCGAACACCACCACCGGAGUUCCCUGCCGCCGCACGAACACCAUCGGAGUUUCCUGUCGUUGCCGCACGAACACCACCACUGGAGUUCCCUGUCGCCACACGAACACCACCGGAGUUCCCUGCCGCCGCACGAACACCACCGGAGUUCCCUGCCGCCGCACGAACACCAUCAAAGUUCCUAGCCGUUCACCGGAGCACCUCCAACGUUCACCUAGCGUUUUUUUUUAAGUUUUGUGAUCCGGUGGCUUAUUUGUCCGUCGGUGGUUAUUCACGAUGGUGAUCGGUCAUAGCCGGGUGUAAUUUAUGUUUUUCAGGUUUGGGUGAUAGCUUUUAUGUUCGUCUGCUUCAAUCUGUGAUGAGGCAAUCGAUAUCAAAUAUGACGUAACAAGAGUGUAAACCAUGAGGCGAGUUGAUUAAAGGACAGUUGAGGGACCUAGAAAGAAGAAUAUUUGAGGUGUCAAAUAGGCUGUGAUGAGUUGAGUGAAAACCGUCUCUUGAUGCGGCAAAAUCCAAAGACAGCAGGUGCGAGUUUCUCCACUUACAACUUCUAUUGCAACCAUGGUCGUCUAAUAGACAAAUUUGCACCAAAAAGGUCGGUCAGGUAAUGGACCAAAAAUGUCGACUUUUAAUAUCAAUAAGACUUUCACUUAUGUGUUAGGAGGUGUUACGUAUUAAAAAAUAAUACGGGCAACUUUCAACCCGUUUGAUCUGGUUUUUCAUCUUUUUUAUUUUAACAAUUAGAGGUAUAAGUUGACCCUAUUACGUUUUAGAUUUGUGAUAUUUUUAAUAUUUUAACUUUGCCUCUCCUUUUUAGAAGUCGUGAAAAAGUCGUGAACUAAAGUGUAAUUAUUUUUAUUUGGUAUGCAAACUAUAUCUGUACAAGAUAUUGAUACUUAUUUAUUUUGAUCAAUUAUAUUUUCUAAUUUCUUAA